GGGGUUGUAGCUCAGUGGUAGAGCACUUGCCUCACAAGCAUUAGGCCCUGGGCUCAAUACUCAGCACCA
rfam:Ictidomys tridecemlineatus contig098565, whole genome shotgun sequence.